AACGAACGCUGGCGGCAUGCCUAAUACAUGCAAGUCGAACGAACGUAGCAAUACGUGAGUGGCGGACGGGUGAGUAACACGUGGGAACCUGCCCAGCGGUGGGGAACAACCGAGGGAAACUUCGGCUAAUACCGCAUACGCCCUUACGGGGAAAGAUUUAUCGCCGUUGGAGGGGCCCGCGUCCGAUUAGCUAGUUGGUGAGGUAACGGCUCACCAAGGCGACGAUCGGUAACUGGUCUGAGAGGACGACCAGUCACACUGGGACUGAGACACGGCCCAGACUCCUACGGGAGGGAGCAGUAGGGAAUAUUGGACAAUGGGGGAAACCCUGAUCCAGCAAUGCCGCGUGAGUGAUGAAGACCUUAGGGUUGUAAAGCUCUUUCGCCCACGACGAUGAUGACGGUAGUGGGAGAAGAAGCCCCGGCUAACUUCGUGCCAGCAGCCGCCGUAA
rnacentral:rRNA from 1 species